AGCUGAACGCCCAUGUCCAGCGAUGGAUGACGACAGCCUGGACGAGCUUGUGGACCAAGCCCGGGCCCGAUGGCCACCCCAGACUCCGCCCCUGCCGCCCUGGCCAGCGAUGCUGGUGAGCCGCCCCGCCCUCCGCCCAGAGCGGGAGUGAGCCUUACGCUGCCCUUCAUGCACAAGCAGCACGCCGUCUGCUUUUUAUUGUUGACGGUCAAUACAAACGCUCUUAAGUCCAGAGCCUCCACCCGCACACCUCACCCCGCCGCCUGGCCCGGGGCCGGGUGCUGCCAGGAGCCCUGUUGGCAGGUGUGCUCUGAGCGCCUGCACCUUCUCCCCAGCCCUGCUCUCUGCUGCCUCGGCUGUGACACUGCCCUCGGCCUGUGUCUUCCUGUCGCUGUAGAAGGAAGCAGUGAUGCCCACAGCGACGCUCUGAGGACGACUCUGGCAGCGAGCACAGCGAUGAGGAGGAUGCGGACGGGACCUGGAGGACGGAUCUGGUUCCAGCUGUAGAAACACCUGUUCAAGUCUUGAUGAGAGAGGAGAACUGAGGACUCUGGUCUGUGCCUCACCAGCCAUCCAGGUGGUGCGCACACACCCUCCUGCUCUGCUCCUCGAGCCCCUCCCGAGCGGCCCCUCCCACAGCUUGCUCUCGGCUCUUCCUGUGUGGUCCUGCCCUGCUCACGGGCCCUUGCCCUCACCUUGCCUGGGUUCGCAGGCGCCAGCAGCUGCCACUCUGGGCUGGUACCCGUGUCUGCACCUCCUCCUCCUGGGCCCUUUUCUGUCUGGGACCUGGUCGUGCAGCUCCCGGGAUGAGGUGGGCGGGCGGCUGGCUCGGCCUCGGUGCCUCACUGCUGGCGGCUGCUGCCCCUCAGGGACUCGGGUGGCUCCAGGGCCGGCUCUGCCUGCCCCUCAGCUCCUGGUCUUCUGGGAUUCUGGAGGAAGAGCCAGAGUACCCGGUUCCCAUGCUCCACCUGCUGCUGUGCCCUUGGCCUCAGCCAGGCGUGUAUCUGAGCCAAAGCACUCUCCAGAACUCUGUGGAGCCCAGCUUAGUUCUCUUGUUUUGUAACAGAUUGUCACACACACAGCAGCUGAGAAGAGCACACUUGAUGUCUCAGUGUCGCCUGUAGUCCAGAUACCAGCAGCCAGUCCUCUGCGCAGGUCUUGCCCAGUUGACAUCAAGGGGUCAGAGGCACCGCUCCUAUGUAGGCUCAGGGUCCUCCCCAAGGUCUGGCUUGUUGCGGGUUUCAGGCCCCACAGUGGGGCUCUCAUCCUGUCUUUGCCCUGGUGGGACCCCUCUCCUCCUCGCUUAGGUUCUGGAGGCCACCCCUCGGUGGACAGGGUGCCAGCCUCUUGUUCUCUUGGGUUGUACAACCGGCAGAGGAAGCUGCUCUCCAGAGCUCGUGGUGGUUAUGUCGUGGUGACAGCAGGGUCUCGGCAUGCGAGACCCUGCCCACCGCGCCUCCUCGUCCGCCUUGCUGUGACUUGGAUCUUUAUUCACUGGAGUUCAGUGGGAGAGAAAACUGAAGCACAUACUGACUUUCGUGCGAGCUGAAUGGCCUCAGAAACUUUUAGAGGUUGAUUAGGCUGUGGUGCAGCUUGCCUGGUUAGGCAUUUGUGGUCUCUGAUCUGGAGGAAAGGAAAAGGAAAGGCCUUCCCUAAGGUGGCAGCUCCUGACGGCUUUGAGAAGGUGCUGCUGGAGUGAGGUGUCCUCCAGAGGCCGCUGCACCACGCCCAGAGGCGUGCUGGCCCCUGGGGCCGCCUGCCUCCUGCGGGGUUCCAAUUUGGCUCCAAGUGCAGCUGGGGCCUUGUGCCUCCUGCGCCAGUUCACAGACUUGUGAUCUUGCCUCUUAAGGUUCCGAGGACUCUGAGGACGAUGGUGACGACCUGGACGCUGGCAGCGGGCGCGGAUUCUCAGGGAGCUCUGGAAGGCAGCGUGCUCAAUCUCGAUGACGACUCCGAGAGCUGCCCGAUCUGUCUCAAUGCUUUCAGGAGCAGGCUGUGGGAACGCCCGAGAACUGCGCCCACUAUUUCUGCCUCGAUUGCAUUGUGGAGUGGUCCAAGGUGCGUGGCGUUUCUUCAGGCUGGGCUCCGUGUGGGUGACCAGCCCCUGGCCGGCCUCUCGUGGGUCUGGGUCUCUGCUUGAUGGCAGGUCUGGUCUCUGCUUUGUCCAUGCUCUGGGCCCUUGGGUGGCUAGUGACGCCACUCUGGGGAGCACAGAACGAGGAGAGGGGUUUAUGGGCCAGAAAUCCCGGUGGCCCAGGGCUGCCGGCCAGCUGAGCUGGCUGGUAGGCGUGGUGCUGAGGGGUCAGCUCACAGACACGGAGCCUGACCCGUGAGCGCAGCAGUGGUGCACACGGGGCGGGUGCUGCAGGGUGAGCUCUGGAAGCACUGCCCGCCUUCUUCUGAACUUUGUGAAAAACUCAAAGAAGCAUGAGCCCAAGGACAAGUGACUGCAGCUCCGCCCGUGCCGCUUCAGGACGCCAGCCUCGCCUGCUGCUCCCCUUCCCUCUGUCAUGGCUGUGGGCCCUGGAGCUGGCAGGACUGGCUGCGCUGCACCCGCCUUCCGCAGUGAGGGUGGCGGUGGCGGCAGCGACUGAGUGCCGAGCCACCUUGUCCGUGCCCGCUGCCCACCUGGCCCCCAGUGCGCCUGCUGCCCCGCGCCUCCUGUUUACUGGGCACUGAUGGUUCGUGUGUCGGCUCCCCAGGAGAGCUGCCCCGCCGCCACGGGAGCGUGGCUUCUUCUGCACGGUUGUGCCUCGGCCCUCACACAGGGCCUGGUGCACACGGGCACUGAGUCAGCGACUGGGUUUUUGUGAAAGGAGCUCUCAACUCUAAGAGAAAUCCUUUGAGGUGGUGUUAACAGUGACAGUGACUCUUCAAGAUUAUAAUACAGUUUUUAUUUUUUACAGAAUGCCAAUUCCUGUCCAGUUGAUCGAACUAUAUUUAAGUGUAUUUGUAUUCGAGCUCAAUUUGGUGGUAAAAUCUUGAAGAAGGUAAGUGUAGGUGCACCCUUAUGUAUUACAUUGGUCCCUGUCUCAUGGGAAACCUUCCUUCAAAAGGUGAUUUGCUCUCCUGAAGUAUUGGUUGCGUGCGCUUUAGAAAUCUGCUGAAUGCCAUUUGCAGCCGAGGCUUAAAGCCUGGGCUGGCGGUGGUGCUAUGUGCCUGGCUGGUAUGGGCUCCAAGGCCAGGGCCAUCCCUGACUCCCUCCCUUCACUCCACGCCUCUUCUGCUUCUCCGAGCUGCUUGCUCCUGAGCCACAGCAGCCACGUGGGGAGGCUGGGGUGGACCCGAGACUUGGGAGGCGGCCAGCUGGGACCAGACUUGAAGGCACAGGGCAGGGCCAGGAGAGCUAAGGGCGGCAUCUUCUCGCUGUUGGGGCCUCUGCAGGCCUCCUUUGUUGAGCAGCAGCGUUAGUCUCAGAGAAGGCGCUCGCUGGUGGCCUGGUGGUUGAGACUCCUGCCUGCAUGGUCUGGCCCUGGUUCCGCCUCUGGUCAGGAGGUCCUCACAAGCCUCGGGUGCUGCCGGGAGGAUGGUGCAUACAGACUGGCUGCACAUCUUCUCAGUGGGCUGGUUGUAGCCAGAGAUCUGUUUUUCACUGUGGAGCCAGAGGCAGCGGGACUCGCUUGGGGACACAGACUCUCUGAGUCUGUGUGGGCGACCCCAUCCUGGCAGGGACGCCCUGUGCCCGCCCGACUCUGCUGUUCUGCCCAGAGGCCGCAGGAGCGCGGGCAGUUUCUUGCAGGCUGGCUCUGCUUGAGUAGCUGUGAGUUAGGCGGGCACUGAGUCAGCGACUGGGUUUUUGUGAAAGGAGCUCUCAACUCUAAGAGAAAUCCUUUGAGGUGGUGUUAACAGUGACAGUGACUCUUCAAGAUUAUAAUACAGUUUUUAUUUUUUACAGAAUGCCAAUUCCUGUCCAGUUGAUCGAACUAUAUUUAAGUGUAUUUGUAUUCGAGCUCAAUUUGGUGGUAAAAUCUUGAAGAAGGUAAGUGUAGGUGCACCCUUAUGUGUAUUACAUUGGUCCCUGUCUCAUGGGAAACCUUCCUUCAAAAGGUGAUUUGCUCUCCUGAAGUAUUGGUUGCGUGCGCUUUAGAAAUCUGCUGAAUGCCAUUUGCAGCCGAGGCUUAAAGCCUGGGCUGGCGGUGGUGCUAUGUGCCUGGCUGGUAUGGGCUCCAAGGCCAGGGCCAUCCCUGACUCCCUCCCUUCACUCCACGCCUCUUCUGCUUCUCCGAGCUGCUUGCUCCUGAGCCACAGCAGCCACGUGGGGAGGCUGGGGUGGACCCGAGACUUGGGAGGCGGCCAGCUGGGACCAGACUUGAAGGCACAGGGCAGGGCCAGGAGAGCUAAGGGCGGCAUCUUCUCGCUGUUGGGGCCUCUGCAGGCCUCCUUUUGUUGAGCAGCAGCGUUAGUCUCAGAGAAGGCGCUCGCUGGUGGCCUGGUGGUUGAGACUCCUGCCUGCAUGGUCUGGCCCUGGUUCCGCCUCUGGUCAGGAGGUCCUCACAAGCCUCGGGUGCUGCCGGGAGGAUGGUGCAUACAGACUGGCUGCACAUCUUCUCAGUGGGCUGGU
rnacentral:lncRNA from 1 species